rnacentral:rRNA from 1 species
GGGGAAUAUUGGACAAUGGACGAAAGUCUGAUCCAGCGACGCCGCGUGGAGGAAGAAGUCCUUCGGGAUGUAAACUCAUGAAGCUAACGAAUAAGACGGAAGGGGAACCUUCCGGGAGAAGGUAAUUAGUGAAAAGCCCCGGCUAACUACGUGCCAGCAGCCGCGGUAAUACGUAGGGGGCUAGCGUUAUCCGGAUUUACUGGGCGUAAAGGGUGCGUAGGUGGUUUCUUAAGUCAGGAGUGAAAAUAACGAAGCUUAACAGGUUAAUGCGCUUGAAACUAAAGGGCUUGAGGGCAAUAGAGGGAGAUGGAAUUACCUGUGUAGGGGUGAAAUCCGCAGAUAUAGGUAAGAAGGCCGGUGGGGAAGCCGAUCUCCUGGGUUGACUCUGACACUGAGGUUCGAAAGCUAGGGGAGCAAACC